AACAAACGCUGGCGGCGUGCAUAACACAUGCAAGUCUAACGGGAAUGUCGGCUUCGGCUGACUAGUACCGUGGCGAACGGGUGAGUAACACGUGGGUAAUCUAACCUCGAGUUUGGGAUAACCUUGCGAAAGCGGGGCUAAUACCGAAUAAGACCACGCUUGGUUCGCCAAGUGCGGUAAAAGGCGGCCUCUUCUUGAAAGCUGUCACUUGAGGAUGAGCCCGCGGCCUAUUAGCUAGUUGGUGGGGUAAUGGCCUACCAAGGCGACGAUGGGUAGCCGGCCUGAGAGGGUGUACGGCCACACUGGCACUGAGAUACGGGCCAGACUCCUACGGGAGGCAGCAGUGGGGAAUUUUGCGCAAUGGGGGAAACCCUGACGCAGCAACGCCGCGUGAGUGAUGAAGGCCUUCGGGUCGUAAAGCUCUUUUAGUGGGGAAGAAUCCCACCCGGGCUAAUACCUCGGGUGUCUGACGGUACCCACAGAAAAAGUUCCGGCUAACUACGUGCCAGCAGCCGCAGUAAGAC
rnacentral:rRNA from 1 species